UACGGGGGGUGCGAGCGUUGUCCGGAAUCACUGGGCGUAAAGGGCGCGUAGGCGGUCAGCACAAGUCAGUUGUGAAAUCUCCGGGCUUAACUCGGAAAGGUCAACUGAUACUGUGCGACUAGAGUGCGGAAGGGGCAACUGGAAUUCUCGGUGUAGCGGUGAAAUGCGUAGAUAUCGAGAGGAACACCUGCGGCGAAGGCGGGUUGCUGGGCCGACACUGACGCUGAUGCGCGAAAGCCAGGGGAGCGAACGGG
rnacentral:rRNA from 1 species